UACAGAGGAGCCAAGCGUUGUCCGGAAUUAUUGGGCGUAAAGCGCGCGCAGGCGGUCCUUUAAGUCUGAUGUGAAAGCCCACGGCUCAACCGUGGAGGGUCAUUGGAAACUGGGGGACUUGAGUGCAGGAGAGAAGAGUGGAAUUCCACGUGUAGCGGUGAAAUGCGUAGAGAUGUGGAGGAACACCAGUGGCGAAGGCGACUCUUUGGCCUAUAACUGACGCUGAGGCGCGAAAGCGUGGGGAGCAAACAGG
rnacentral:rRNA from 1 species